CUGAGAAUUCACACCCGUCUCAGUCAGCCACCUCCUGGAUGAACACGGGCUUCAUACCUCCACUCCCACAUACACACAGAAGAGGUGCGCCGGCCAGACCGGUGCCACCGGAAGGCUGCCGGCUACCAGCCCGUGGAGGAGCACCGUGGAGGAGCACCUGCCGGGCGGAGCAGAGGCUGAGUCGGACCUGAAGGAGGGAGAACAAGCUGGUCAGCCUAGAGACAAAGGGUUUGCUGUGACCAGUGGAGAGGACCAUGCCCAGGAACUGCUGACCCCAAGCUACCAGGUAAGGCAAUCCUGAAAUCUGUCACCUCUGCAGUCUCGGGGUGAGGCUGCUUCAUGGAAGGGGAGGCCUGGUGCCAAGGAGCCAGUCCCGGGAGCAGCACAAGUCAGGGGAGGAUAGAUCCGAGGCUCUGUUGGACCUCGCCAAGACCACUGCUGCUUCCAGGGACCGGUGACGUCUCACGCAAGAAGGCUGGGGCUCUCGUGAUGUCGCAGUAAUGUCAGAUGAUUCACAGACCCAGUGACGGUUCAGCAAUCUCUAAGCCGUUUUACUCACUCGCCUACUUGGGGCUGACCAGUGAGGCAGGGAGAUGGGUCAUCUCUGCUGUAGCUGCUGGGCUCCAUGGCUUAUAAGGUCCAGGCUUUUGGUAAAUAUUCUAAUGUGGUCAGAAUGCCUGUGGCCCCUGAGGUAUUGUCUUGGCUAGGAGUGGGGAUGGUGGUGGUGAUAAGCAAACAGUACUAAGCGGUCAGUGUGCUUCUAGGAUUCCUCUCAGAAGUGAGGUAAGCUGUCAAAAAAAAGGAAGGCCUGGAUCUUCUACAUCUCGCCUCCUUUGAUGGGCGGUGGUGUAACUAAUACCAGCAGAACGGGGCAGAGGUGUCCUCUGGGCACUGGUUGCAGAGCAUUUUUAAUCCCUGGCCUCUGGCACUUGUCCUUAUCCCUACUAAACAAGCUGUCCCCAGAUUCCAGGCUGCAGCUGUUUGAAAGCUUGUUGGGCCCCUAUUGAGGCCCUCCCUGUGGAGCUCUUAAGGGCCCAGCUGCCCUUCCGGAGGCCCCAGAAUCCUCACCAGGCUGCCAGCAGCUCAGAUGUAUUCCAUACAAAUCAGGGGCCCAUACCCUGACCAAGUUCAAGCUCCUUCCACCUGAGACAGAGCCAUAGGUGGCUCAUGAGCCUGUCAGGACCCAGCUUUCAGUUGGCUCAUCCGGAAGAACCUAGUUAAGUCACUCCACCUUGGAGCCGUCUUCUCCAAAUGGAAGAACUGUUCCGAUGAUCGUUCUAUGGCGUGAGUUCAGCCUUGCAGAGCAUAGACAGAAAUGGUAGCUGCAGUGUGCCACUCUCAUUAUUAGCAUGGGGAGGGAUUGGGCAGCAGGUGUCCAGCCAUCAGUGUUGACAACCCUUAGCACAUGGCCUCCACUCCUGAAAUCUGUCGGGACUGUCCACGCCUGGGGUACUCUUGACCUCGUAAUGAAUGGAAGAGGAUAGUUACAGUUUGGACAUGGGUGGAAUUUUUGCAGGUACCCACAGGUGGGUGGUGUCCUUCAUUGAAAUCUUCAUUUGGGUUUGAUGGUACAUAAGAAAAGAGGGGGUGUGACAAGCUGGCUUUUCAGAAAAAGUCCAGUUCACAAUGUCCUGCCUCUGCUCCACAGUUGGGAAUCAUGUCAUCAGGCCACCGGGUGUGGCGUGCAGCUAUGCCACCCUACCGCCAGAACAGCUCCACAGCCUCAGUGCCCAGGUCCCCUGGCUCAGGGGGCAGCCCCAAGUCCCCCAGUACUCCUGGCUCAGUGAAGGUGGCCUCCCCAUUGGAAUGCUCCAUCUGCUUCUCAGGCUACGACAACAUCUUCAAGACACCCAAAGAGCUUUCCUGCUCUCACGUCUUCUGUCUCGAGUGCUUGGCUAGGCUGGCAGCUGCCCAGCCUGCAGGCCGCUCUGGCAGAGAAGCUGUGCCCUGUCCAUUCUGCCGACAGCCCACAACCGUGCCUGUCGCUGGGGCUCCUGCCCUGCGCACCAGCCGUCAGCUACAGGCCAAGCUGCCAGCACACCUACAGAGAGAGGAGCCUGUGUGGCUCGAGGGCACCAAACUGUGUUGCCGCCCCUUGCCCACCACUUCUGGCCAAGAGGACGGUGGCUUUGUAAGUGUGGACGUAGGCCUGAGCAAACCAGCUGAGCCCACCCUACCUGUACCUGUCCAAGACCCUGCACCCAACCCAGGCUGGCUGGCUCGCUGCUGGGCGCGCUUUAGGGACUGGCGUCGCGUAGCCCUGGUUUCUGUGCUGUUGCUAGUGCUGUUUUGUGUGAUACUCUGGCCUGUGCAGUGUGCACUCAAAACUGGAAAUCUGCGUUGCAUUAACCGACCACCUGCAGCCACCGCCACCGCCACUGUCACCACCGAUGCCCUCUCCUUUGGGGUCUUAGCCAACAACUAGGGUCACCACUUGGGCCAGGCCAGCUAUUCCAACAGCUCCGUGGUGACCCAGUGAGGUCAAGAACAUAGCAGCUUUUGAAGAUAGUUGGUCCCCCAGAACCCCAUUUAGGACAUGUAUGUGUCCCUUACUCUCCAGGACUAGGUGCCAAUGAGAACAAAAGAGUCCUCAAAGUCUCUAAGGACUACAGGCUUCUAAAGGCUCCAGAAACUGCCCUGGGACCCUAUCAUACAGAUAGGGAAAGGAAGCCAGGGACGCUGGUCGGGUGCCUGGCCUCCCUGGACACAGCUGAAUUGCCAAAACAGCAGGAGUUUGCCAUUCUUCCUUCCUUAAGACGUCGCCGGGACCCCGAGCAGCUGCUUCUCUAAGAGUGAGAAUGAAAAGGCAGGGCACCUUUUGCCCAUGCCACAGCGCCACAGCAGGAACUCACCAGCUGUCCAUGGCCAUUAUGAAUGGCACAUUUUAAAAUAAAUUAUUUUGU
rnacentral:lncRNA from 1 species